rnacentral:misc_RNA from 1 species
GAAGUGCGAUAAGUAAUGUGAAUUGCAGAAUUCCGUGAAUCAUCGAAUCUUUGAACGCAAAUUGCACUUUCUGGUAUUCCGGAAAGUAUGCCUGUUUGAGGGUCAGUUAAAUAAAAAUCGGUGUCGUUGCUGCCUUUCGUGGUGACGCGUCGGAGUUGGGUCGUCUUACCUUCGGUUAAGUGACUUAAAAAUUUUUUUAUGAUUUUCGAACGUAUUUAAAUCGUUUACGUACGUUUGGGAUAUCAAAUGUUUAUUAGGUUCGGUCAUCCUCAUGAUUCGCGCCUAUAAUCUUUCAUUAAAUGACCUCAAAUCAGGUAAGAAUACCCGCUGAACUUAA